rnacentral:rRNA from 1 species
GACGAACGCUGGCGGCGUGCUUAACACAUGCAAGUCGAACGGAAAGGCCCUGCUUUUGUGGGGUGCUCGAGUGGCGAACGGGUGUGUAACACGUGAGUAACCUGCCCUUGACUUUGGGAUAACUUCAGGACACUGGGGCUAAUACCGGAUAGGAGCUCCUGCUGCAUGGGGGGGGUUGGAAAGUUUCGGCGGUUGGGGAUGGACUCGCGGCUUAUCAGCUUGUUGGUGGGGUAGUGGCUUACCAAGGCUUUGACGGGUAGCCGGCCUGAGAGGGUGACGGGCCACAUUGGGACUGAGAUACGGCCCAGACUCCUACGGGAGGCAGCAGGGGGGAAUAUUGCACAAUGGGCGGAAGCCUGAUGCAGCAACGCCGCGUGCGGGAUGACGGCCUUCGGGUUGUAAACCGCUUUCGCCUGUGACGAGGCGUGAGUGACGGUAAUGGGUAAAGAAGCACCGGCUAACUACGUG